rnacentral:snRNA from 1 species
GUUCAUUCCUGAACAUAUACUAAAAUUGGAACAAUACAGAGAAGAUUAGCAUGGCUCAUGCGAUGGAGGACACGCAAAUUCGUGAAGCGUUCCAAAAAUUU